rnacentral:rRNA from 1 species
GACGAACGCUGGCGGCGUGCUUAACACAUGCAAGUCGAACGGAAAGGCCUUGCUUUUGUGGGGUGCUCGAGUGGCGAACGGGUGAGUAACACGUGAGCUGCCCGCCCUUGCCUUUGGGAUAACUUCAGGCAACUGGGGCGAAUACCGGAUAGGAGCCCCUCCUGCAUGGUGGGGGUUGGAAAGAUUCGGCGGGUGGGGGUGGACUCGCGGCUUAUCAGCUUGUUGGUGGGGCAGUGGCCUACCAAGGGUUUGACGGGUAGCCGGCCUGUGAGGGUGAGCGGCGACAUUGGGACUGUGAGACGGCCCAGACUCUUACGGGAGGCAGCAGUGGGGAAUAUUGCGCAAUGGGCGGAAGACUGAUGCAGCAACGCCGCGUGCGGGAUAACGGCCUUCGGGUUGUAAACCGCUUUCGCCUGUGACGAAGCGAGAGUGACGGUAAUGGGUAAAGAAGCACCGGCUAACUACGUG